CCCGAGUUACAAACCGGCCUAUAUGGCCCAAACCCAAAAUAAAUAGAGGCCCAAAAUUAACCCCCAGGCCCAAAGCAAUUUUAGAAACCCUAGUGUUCUAAGGUAAACUUCGGCCGCCGCAACCAUGCCCGCGAAACUCCGCGCGAUCUUCAUACCUGCGCAUCAAGAAGAGAAAUAGCAGUAUAUGGAAAGAAAAAAGAUUGCGAAUCAAAGAAAAUGGAAUAGAUUUAUUUAUGAUAUUGUAAUUUUGGCUAUAAAAGAGCCAUGGAAACACUGUAAUCGGGAGGGAAAAAUCAAGAAAAGAAAAGCUAUUGUUUUUUUACAGCAAACAGAAUACAGAGAAAAUCGAUUAUAGAGGUGGAUAUUUACAAUACUUAUUUAUUUAUUCUUUCUAUUGUUAUUUCUUUUUUACAAACGAAUAAUAACAAAGAAAAAGAGGAAGAAACAACCUGAGUGGCCCGGAAUCAACAAGAACGGUCAAAAACCGAAAGGUUUCUCGGCGAUUUGAGGCUCUUGCAGUUGUGUUUUGAGGGUUUCGGGGCCAGAUCUGGGUUUAGCGGCUUCAAAGGGACUGAGUAAAAGAUUUUCACCUUCUCCGGCCACCGCAGAAGGCGGUGCCGUCGCCGGAGGCCGGUGGCCGGUGCAGACGCCGACGAUCGGCCGGUGCCCGGACUUAGGCCGGAGAACUGAGGGGUUGAGAGCUUUC
rnacentral:lncRNA from 1 species